UAAUACAUGCAAGUCGAGCGGACAKAUAAGGAGCUUGCUCCUURGACKUUAGCGGCGGACGGGUGAGUAACACGUGGGCAACCUGCCCCUUASASUGGGAUAACUCCGGGAAACCGGAGCUAAUACCGRAUAAUCCYUUUCUCCACCUGGAGAGAGGGUGAAAGAUGGCUUCGGCUAUCACUAAGGGAUGGGCCCGCGGCGCAUUAKCUAKUUGGUAAGGUAACGGCUUACCARGGCAACGAUGCGUASCCGACCUGAGAGGGUGAUCGGCCACACUGGGACUGASACACGGCCCAGACUCCUACGGGAGGCAGCAGUAGGGAAUCUUCCGCAAUGGACGAAAGUCUGACGGAGCAACSCCGCGUGAGUGAGGAAGGCCUUCGGGUCGUAAAGCUCUGUUGUGAGGGAARAAGCGGUACCGUUCGAAUAGGGCGGUACCUUGACGGUACCUCACCARAAAGCCACGGCUAACUACGUGCCAGCASCCGCGGUAAUACRUAKGUGGCAAGCGUUGUCCGGAAUUAUUGGGCGUAAAGCGCGCGCAGGCGGCUUCUUAASUCUGAUGUGAAAUCUCGGGGCUCAACCCCGAGCGGCCAUUGGAAACUGGGGAGCUUGAGUGCAGAAGAGGAGAGUGGAAUUCCACGUGUAGCGGUGAAAUGCGUAGAGAUGUGGAGGAACACCAGUGGCGAAGGCGACUCUCUGGUCUGUAACUGACGCUGASGCGCGAAAGCGUGGGGAGCAAACAGGAUUA
rnacentral:rRNA from 1 species